GCCCGGCUAGCUCAAUCGGUAGAGCGUGAGACUUUUACGAAGACUGGAUACUUCAGAAUCUCAUGAGAUCAUCUCAAGGUUGUGGGUUAGACCCCCACGCCGGGCU